AGUAUUGCUGCUUAUCACUGCAUGGCAGCUGUGCAUUCUGUGAACUAAUAAACAGGGCAAGAUCCCCUCCCAGCUCUUGCUUUGCUAUAGACCUGCUUAUGAAACCAUCCAGUGAACUAUUUGGUAAUUUUGCAAAGAGGGCUGUUUUCAGGUGUUUCAAUGUAAAUAUUUUGGAGCCAAGAGUUGAUCCCUGAAAGCUCAUUGCCAUCUCAGGUCAAAAACGGGAACAUUUCUACAAUACAAUGAGGAUCUUGUUUCUCUGUAUCGUGCUUUCAGCACAGACACGAGGAGAAGAACACACUACUGCUGAAAGUCUGUCUGCGCCAACAGCACAGACGGUAGGAGUUGAAAGCACUACUACUGAAAGUCUGUCUGCGUCAACAGCAGAGACACACACAGGCGAAAGCAUUACAACUGCCAGUCCAUCUCCAUCGACAGAAGAGACGAGCGAAAGCACUAUAAUUGCCAGUCCAUCUCCAGGGGCAGCAGAGACGCACACAAGUGAAGGCAUUACAACUGUCAGUCCAUCUGCAUUAACAGUGCUGCUGACACAGGCGAACAAAGGUACUACAACUCCUAUUGCCUCUGCUUCAUCAGUGCUGCUGACACAGGCGAUCAAAGGUACUACAACUCCCAUUGCCUCUGCUUCAUCAGUGCUGCUGACACAGGCGAACAAAGGUGCUACAACUCCCAUUGCCUCUGCUUCAUCAGAAUUACCAUCUGUGGUUCAAAGUUCUACAGCUAUCCCUCAGAUUAAUACAACUGUCAGAGAAGAAUUAUCAUCUGUGGUUCAAAGUUCUACAGCUAUCCCUCAGCUUCAUACAACUGUCAGGGAAGAUGAAGAUCGAGUCUCAAGGCCACAUUUUAAUUACACAAUACAGAUGGAGGAGAACAGAACUAGCAUUAAUUUCCUCUGCAUCUCAGCAACAGGCUUACUACCAAUCACUUACAGAAUCUUCCAGAACAUGACAAACUUGCUGAAGAAUCAGACAGUGAAUGAAUCAGUUCCACUUCAGUACAAGAUGUUUGUCACUCCCCCUACAGGCCCCACAGUAUACAAAUGUGAGGCACAGAACACAUUUGGUAUGCAAUACAGCCAGUUCAAGGAGAUCAACAUAGGUCCAGUCUCAAGGCCACAUUUUAGUUACACAAUACAGAAGAAGGAAAAGAACAUGAGCGUUAAUUUUGCCUGCAUCUCAGAAACAGGCUCACUACCAAUCACUUACAGAAUCUUCCAGAACGUGAAAACCUUGGUGAAAGAACUAGAAGUGUUUGAACGAGCUCCAUUUUACUACAAGAUGUUUGUGACUCUCCCAAUGGGCCCCUCAGUAUACAAAUGUAAGGCACAGAACAUGCUUGGUGUGAUGUACAGCCAAGAGAUCAACAUAGGUCCAGUCUCAAAGCCACAUUUUAAUUACACAAUACAGAUGGAGGGGAACAGAACUAGCAUUCAUUUCUUCUGCAUCUCAGCUGCAGGCUCACUACCAAUCACUUACAGAAUCUUGGAGAGCAAGACAACCUUGGUGGAUGAACAGACAGUGAAAGAAUCAGCUCCAUUUCAAUGUAAGACGUUUGUGACUCUCCCUACGGGCUACGUAGCAUACAGUUGCGAGGCAAAGAACAUACUUGGUGUGGAAUACAGCCAGUCCAAAAAGAUCAACAUAGAUAAACCUGCUUCUGAAAAAAGUAAGAUCGUGUUCUACAGCAGCACAGCACUAUUUUUGUUACUACUGAUCAUCUUACCCUGUGCUUGUGUUUGUAUCAUAUUGGUCUGCAAGUUCAGAAAAACUCAUCUGUGAACCACAUGUUCAUUCCUGAACACAUGGUGCAACUAAAAUACAUUUGUUCAUCUGCUGGACAGUUUACCAAUGAAUAAAACAUAUGAAUGAUCAGAUGAGAUGCUAUGGACAAUGGAUAAGAAGUGUGCCAGAACCACUCCAUAGCUGUAAAUACAUAAGCAGUUACUAAUUGUACAGCACAAGAUCUUUGACAGCAGAUCUGAAGGUUUACUGUUUUCCAUUAGAACAUUCAGUAAUAAAGCUUUCAUGCUGAUUGAGAACUUAUACAACAUAAUAAUAAGCCUGUAAGCAGAAGACAUUUUGUUGGAAUGGUGGAAUAUUACAAACAGUAGUGACUAAACAACUCCCAAUAUUGAAUAACAAAGUAAUGACUUCUCACAUGAGUUCUAUGACUGCAGAGAAUACGACUGCAUGUUAAAGAAUAAAGAAAAAAUGCCUCCAUCAAGCAAACAUGGGAAGAUCUGUUAAAAAAAUAUGUUUCAGUCAUUUAUACAUUUUACAGCCCUUGCAAAGUUAGCUUUGGAUUGCUGGCAUAUCAGUUGUAUGUGGCCGUAAUUGCAACAGAAAAACUCAAGGCUCUUCACCCUCAAUGAUGCUGAACAGAAAAUGCAUGUAAAAAAGAGAGAGUGUGCUAGAACUAUAGACUUUAAGAAAUACAGUGUACUAAUAAAAAGUGUGAAUAAACAUAGCAUAUUGUGCUUUCUCUAAACUUGCACAUUCAUUAAUUAUGGCUGGCAAUUUAAGUUUGUAUACAUAUUUGAGAGCUUGCUAUCUUUCAUUUCAGGUUCAAUGUUGAUAGGCUCUUUUCUGUUAGGUCUUCUUUUAAACUUUUGCUGCAGCCAUUUGCAGCUUUCACCAGCAGAUGGCAAUUUAGAUCUGGUUAGCAGCUGUUAAAAAUGCAAAAAAAAAAAAAAAACUGUUGAGGGCUUUCAAGUACAGGCAAGCAGCAAGAGUCGGUUGCAUUGUUGAUGUGAGCUAGCUUCAGAAAUCCCAUCUGCUAUCUCUCUUAGAUGGCAGUGAUGUCCAUUUUUAUAUUCAGUUUUGAAACUUCUAAAGAGCUGGUUUAUACAAAUAUGGAAUUUGCUGACAGAAGUGUGGGUGCCUUACUUUUUUUAGCGGGAAAUCCCACUAGUAACCAGAACUUAUUUUCAGGGGAAAUUUUUGAACACUGGAUGACAAAGCAGCUUAUUCAGAGUUGCAGAAAACAUACAGACAGAAAAUGAAGGGUUCAAACCCAAAACCACAGGAGGUCAAGCUUAUACCUCCAAUUCACUAUGCCAAUCUCCCAGUUAAGAAAUAGCUCUCAUGUCAUUUGCUCCUGCAGGUUUUCUGCCCCAGUUCUACUGUUUUCUGCAUUGUUUGAAUUAAAUCUAACUAUUUUAUUGUACCCUAUUAUUCUUAUAAAAGAAGCCGCAGUUUGCUGAUAUGGUACUUCAUAGUAUUUUACAUUUCCAGUUAACAGCCCUUCUAAGCAACACUUAUCUAGAAAAGGUACUUUUCAGUGUGGUAAACAUUCAAUGUGUAAUCAAGAUGUCAUUUUUUUUUCAAAAUUAAUAAUGUAAAAUUUAACCCAAUUGAUGAGUCUAUGUGUAAUACUGAGAAAGUAAUUUAUGUUUUAAAAUGUCCAUGUGAUUUGUUUUAUGUGGGGGAAAGCCAGAGGGCUUUUAAGACUAGGUUCCAAGAAUAUAUUAAGAGACAAUAAAGGGGAACGUUUGGAAAGCUCUCUGGCAGUGUACUUUAAAUUGCAUCACCAAGGUAACUGAAUCCUGUUAAAAGGUUAUGUUUUGGAACAAAACAGGGAUGGAGUUGGGUGAACAUAUUACCCUUAAAGAUAAAUUAUUGUAUAAAGAAGUCCUUUUUAUAUUUUAAAGUAUAAUACUUUGGUACCGGGGGUGGGGUUAAACAAUGAAUGCAACUGGAAAUAUCUUAUUAAUUAAUUGUGCUAAUUAAUCUAUUAAGCUUGUUAGAAAUUUAAUGUGGAGGAGACUUUUUUGUAGUGUGCUUUUUUGCUCUAUGAAGGCAAACUUGCUGUGGUGCUAGAGAGGUGAUUAAAGCUUUUUGUUCUUA